UUUAGGCAGAGGCCUGUUGGUUUGGGCACCUAGCUGUUAACUAGGGUUAUUGUGGGAUCGAAGCUCACCUGUCUAG
rnacentral:tRNA from 1 species